GACGAACGCUGGCGGCGUGCUUAACACAUGCAAGUCGAACGGAAAGGCCCUGCUUUUGUGGGGUGCUCGAGUGGCGAACGGGUGAGUAACACGUGAGUAACCUGCCCUUGACUUUGGGAUAACUUCAGGAAACUGGGGCUAAUACCGGAUAGGAGCUCCUGCUGCAUGGUGGGGGUUGGAAAGUUUCGGCGGUUGGGGAUGGACUCGCGGCUUAUCAGCUUGUUGGUGGGGUAGUGGCUUACCGAGGCUUUGACGGGUAGCCGGCCUGAGAGGGUGACCGGCCACAUUGGGACUGAGAUACGGCCCAGACUCCUACGGGAGGCAGCAGUGGGGAAUAUUGCACAAUGGGCGGAAGCCUGAUGCAGCAACGCCGCGUGCGGGAUGACGGCCUUCGGGUUGUAAACCGCUUCCGCCUGUGACGAAGCGUGAGUGACGGUAAUGGGUAAAGAAGCACCGGCUAACUACGUG
rnacentral:rRNA from 1 species